rnacentral:ncRNA from 1 species
GAAAGCCGUAUACUCUGAGAGGAGUACGUACGGUUUGGGGGGGAGUUCUUGGAAACCUGCUUAGGUGAAUAAGUAAGGCGCUGGGUUCUCAUCCCAC